AGACUACAACGCUUUUGCUCCGGAAAUUGCAUCGCUAAAUUCCCGUCCUUGGAGACUUCAAGCAUGAGCAACCGCCUCAAAUUGAAGAUUUUCCCAGCUCCUGACCAAACACUACAGCUAACAAACGAAGAGGAAGACACAGAUGUCGAUGCUUAGGAGAAGUGGCUGACUGCUGAUGAUAAACGGAAUUUGGCAAGUACUGAUUGAUAUCUUAACCAGAUUCCAUCAUUCUACUGCUCCACCUGGCCUCAAUGGUCUGACAUAAGUGGAAGAUUGUUCACCAAACAUUUAUGUUGAUGAAUAUCUUUGGUGUUGGAG